rnacentral:rRNA from 1 species
UACGGGGGGAGCAAGCGUUGUUCGGAUUUACUGGGCGUAAAGGGCGCGUAGGCGGUCGUGACAAGUCACUUGUGAAAUCUCCGGGCUUAACUCGGAACGGUCAAGUGAUACUGUCGGACUAGAGUACAGAAGGGGCAACUGGAAUUCCUGGUGUAGCGGUGAAAUGCGCAGAUAUCAGGAGGAACACCGGUGGCGAAGGCGGAUCUCUGGGCCAUUACUGACGCUGAGGAGCGAAAGCGUGGGGAGCGAACAGG